UGCUUGCUGUAGCAGAGCGUGCUCGGUUACGUUCUUUUUCCUCAAGCAGAACGAAUGUCCGAUGGAAAAUGCAUAGUAUGAGUAAUGCAUGUGUCCGUGCAUCACAGGUUAUAGAAGAAUAUUCACAGAAGAUUCAGGCUAUGAUCAGAAGUGGCACCAACUCUCAAGAUGUUCCUCUUGGCUCCCUAACCUGUGAGCUGCUUGAAGCAAGGAUUGUAUUGUGCUGUUCAUAUGGAGCACACUGGGGCCCUAAUCUCAGUUGAGGUUUCUGUGUAUUACUGCAAAACAUGAAGAACUGGCAUAAUUUGUGUGCAUUUGUGGGAGGAAGAUUUGUAAGAUGAAAAAAAAUAAAAUAAAACAGUUGCGGUGGUAGCUUAUCAUUUAUCCUGGGAGUGCAUAUAGCUAGAAUGACACAGGAAAAGUAAUGCCCAUUGUACUUGCUUAGACUAUGACAUUAAUGGACUUGCUAAAAUUGUAAUAAUAUAUGUCUUUUAAGGAGUCAUUCUGGCAAUCUGACAAACCACCAUUUAGCUCUAACAAUGUUUGAUCCUCAUCCUGAGCCAUAGGCUGGAUUGCAUCUUGAAGACUGAAGCUGCAAAAGUGUCAAACUAGAAUAAAUUAAGAAAUUCAACUGCAGAAAGACAGAACGGAGUAAUGACAGGUUACUGCUUCCAAGCUUCUUGCUGACUGGGUUUGCACCAUCCUUUCUGCUAUCUCCUUUUCUUUCAUAUCUUGGUCUUGCAUAUCAUAUUUGUCAUGGUAAUAAUUUGAGCUUGCCCACCUCCCACUCAGAGAUGUUUGCUUCUUCCCCGUUUAAUGCGCUGCACAGAACAAUUCUCCUAAACUAAUCUGUUAGCUUGUUCAUAAUCCAAUGUCUGACAGGAAUGUGGCUGUUAAACACAUGGGAGUAAAAUUUAUUGUAUUUACAACUUUAGGCUUCUG